GCUGAUUUCAUCAGAGACACGCCUCCACGACUGCGCGUCACAACCCAGAACGCCAAAAGCACAAAGCACUUUGUGUUGCGUUCAAGGUUCUGCAGUGGGUGGACAUGCGUGGACCCUGGACUGUCUUCUUGCUAAAUUUAAUCAGUGACUGUGCAAGACUGGAGACAGACAUCUACUGGUGGAAUUUGGUACUGAGCCCAGGGAAACAAAGAAGGAAUCCACUCUGUGUCGCAUUAGUGUUGUCUUGCAGGCCUGAGAAAAUACUGCUCCCUGACCUAUAGCUGGCAUAGUCAGAAUGCAGCAGCAUGAAGGAUGGUCUGGAAUGCUGGUGGAGAGAGCAGGGGUUCAGCACCACUGGCACCAAGAGGCCUUGGAGCUGUGGAGAGGCAGCUUCUUUUGUUGGAGAGGUGAACUUGUGUGAGAACUCUCAAACAGCCAGUCAGAGGUGAUGUCUGGCCUUUUUAAUUACAGUAGGACAAAAAGGGACUGUGUUUUCUCCAGUUCUCCCAGAGCCGUCCCAUUUCAGCCAGAUUAAAGUUAGGAGAAUGAGCUGAGAUCACGCUUUGGCAUGGCUACUUCAAACACUUUCUUCUACUGGGACAACUUGUUGUCCACUCUGAAUUUACAAUCAUCCAACUCCUGAGAUCCUAUAAAAUGAACAUUUUUCAUUUUUUUUUGAUGAUAUUAAAGCUUGGUUUGUUUUUAUUUAACUCCAAAUACAGUGACAAUUAUUUUUAUUUUUUUAUAAGAAACAUAUUGUUUUUUUACAUGUGUGAAAUUUGGUAGCUCUAUGGCUCAGCAUAUAGGCAUGAAUAAUUCAUUCCCCUCUCGUUAAUCUUGUUGAUUGAAUAAAACCUUCAGGAAGACAUUACAGAUUUGAGACUAAUAUUUACUUGCCUGCUUUCUAAAGAAAGGGUGCAGACCUCUGUAAAAAAUCUAUUUUUAUAGCAUGGUGGUGGAAUGAUCAUGUUUUGGGAGCAGUCACUUGGAUACAUUUCCCAAAGUUGAAGUUGGGACCCUGCUUGGGAUCAGGAAACAAAAGUGGAGCCAUG